GCGCGGCUUUCUCGGCUGCCCUGACCCAGGUGCCAGAAAAGCCAUCAGCCCUGGCAGGACACCAGUGCGGAGCUGGACAGGACAGUCCGGAGGGGCCAGGCAGGAAGGUGCUGUGCGCCAAAACUGAGCCCAGGGAGCAGCCAGACACUGGCGACAGGACGAGGCAGAGAAUCCCAGAGACGGAGAGGGAGAAGAAGCACCUGACAGAGGCACGUCUCAGCCAACACAUUCUGGUCUUGAGCUGCCUUGCUUCCCACCGUGAUACUAAUGGACUGGACCUCUGAACCUGUAAGCCAGCUCCAAUUAAAUGUUGUCCUUGUUAAGUGUUGCCUUGGUCAUGGUGUCUCUUCACAGCAAUGGAGAACCUAAAACAUAAGUUAGCACCAUGGACUGGAGUAUGGCUGUUAUAGGUAACCAUGCUUUUGCUUGAAAGAAUGUGGAUUUUGUGACUUUGGAAAGCAGUGGGAUGCUUUAAGAGAGCCUUAAUGGGCUAUCCUAGUAGGAAUGUAGAAGACUUUCCUGCUGCGGAAAUUUGAACUCUGAGACCCUGGCUCUAGAGGUUUCAGAGAAGAGGGAUUUUAACAGGUUGCUUGAAGAUGGCUGUGAUAUUUCAGUGAAGAACGUGGCUGCUUUUUGACCUUAUCUAAAGAGUCUAUCUCAGGCUAAGAUAAAGAGAUUUCAAUUAAUUGCAUUCAUAGAGGAAGUCUCAGAAAAGCCCAGCAUAGACUUUGUCCUCUGGUUUACUCUCAUGAAAAGGUGUUUUGAUCAAGUAUAGCAAGGUUAGAAAGAAAAAAGUACAAAAUGUAUGGUUCAAAUAAUAAAGGGACACCAAGAAGUACAAUGGAGCUAAAUCCUGAGUCUAAGGAAAUAAACAGACUAAGGGGGGUGGUGACAUUGGGUAAGAUCCCACAGAACUAAGCUUAUUGUCUAUGUGUUUACCAGUGAACAAGGAAUAAUCAUUUGCUUAUUGUUUUCAUUUGGAGUUUUAACCUGGAAUGACCUACAAUCCAGAAAUGGACCACACAGGCUUUUGAUCCAUAUUUUGAGAAAUAAUGGCCAUGAAAAACUUAGAUCCAGGCAUGGUAGUACAAGCCUUUAAUCCCAGAAUCCAGGAGACAGCCAUGCAGACCUCACUUAGGUCUAGGACAGUCAAGCAGAACUCAGCAGCUUCAGCCAUGUGGAUCUGCUUCAGAAUCGAGACCAAAAGGGACUACUGGGACAACUGAUGCUAGUUAGCUGCAGCUAAAAAGUUAGAGGUAGUUAAGAAGAGACCUCUUAACUAGAUCACUGAGGUGAAAUCUUCUGCAGGUGUGUUCUUAGAGCACCAGGAAGCUGUUCCAGAGAUAACCAAGGUUGUAGCUCGUGCUGCAGCUGAACUUGGUAAUUCAUGUGUAACUGAAGGGCCUAGUCAGUUAAGUCUAUCUUAUGUUCAAACUCUAUCUUAUGUCUAGCUUGUCCUCAGUUUGAACUUGGCAAAAGGGAAAAACCAGUUUGUUCCAGGAACCAGAACAUACCCAAGUAACCCCUAUUGCACCCUUGAUACUCACUCCACUCUUUUUUUUUUCAUCUUUAUUAAAUUGGGUAUUUCUUACUUACAUUUCAAAUGUUAUUCCCUUUCCUGGUUUUCAUGCCAACAUCUCCAUAACCCCCCUCCCCUUCUAUAUGGGUGUUCUCCUCCCAAUCUUACCCCCAUUACUGCCCUCUCCCCAGCAAUCAGGUUCACUGGGGGGGGGGGGGUGUUCAGUCUUAGCAGGACCCAGGGCUUCCCCUUCCACUGGUGCUCUUACUAGGAUAUUCAUUGCUACCUAUGAGGUCAGAGUCCAGGGUCAGUCCAUGUAUAGUCUUUAGGUAGUGGCUUAGUCCCUGGAAGCUCUGGUUGCUUGGCAUUGUUGUACAUAUGGGGUCUCGAGCCCCUUCAAGCUCUUCCAGUUCUUUCUCUGAUUCCUUCAACGGGGGUCCUAUUCUCAGUUCAGUGGUUUGCUGCUGGCAUUCGCCUCUGUGUUUGCUGUAUUCUGGCUGUGUCUCUCGGGAGAGAUCUACAUCCGGCUCCUGUCGGCCUGCACUUCUUUGCUUCAUCCAUCUUGUCUAGUUUAAGGGGAAAUGCUGAUUGUCAUGUUCGGGGCAAAUGACUCAAGUUAUAGCAAAGCUCAUGUUGUUAGCUAAAAUGUUAUGCAAGCUACGCUUUCUAAAAUGUCAACCAGUCACGUGAUUGCCCAAUUGGAAAGCCCUUAGCCGGCUUACCCUGUAUAAGAAGGAAGGCUGACACACCAGCUCAGUACCUUCCAUACCCAUCCACUGAGCUGGAGAGGUUGAAAGUCCAAGCUCCAGCUUGAAUAAAGACUCUUUGCUGUUCAUGUGAGUUGAAUCUCUGAUGGUAUUUGCUAGUCUGUGGGGGACCCCGAGUAAGAAGCAACCAGGUGGUACUGGUUUUGAAGGCAUAAAGGGGUCAUGGAUAGCAGCUGAGGUCUGGCACCGUGUGAGGCCAGGGAAGAUCACUGGUGAAGGUGCAGCCUCAGUGGUAGAUAAUGUCCCAGGACUGAAGGGGUCAUGCAAAGCAGUUGAGGCUCAGCACCGUGAAGGGAACCUACGAGUGGCUCUUGGUGAUGCCUAGUUGCAGCACAAGACCCAAGCAUGUUAGAAGUGCCAGUACCGUGGAAUGAUCACCAAGAACGGCAUCAUUAGUGGAGUAGGUUCGACCAGAGCCAAGAGUGCUACAGAGGGCAGAGCUGGGGAAGUGAUCCAAACCCUUUGGGGGAGCCUAGAAAAUAAUGUGUGGACCCCAGACAUUGGAAGAGGAUGAAGUGGAAGGUACCUUGGAGACCUUAAGAUAUUAAAGGUGCCAGAGCCACUGGAUGCCUGCCAAGGAAAGUUGCUUAUAGGGACUGGAACCAGCCCAGGAGAAACAAGUUUGCUGCGUUCAAACAUCCCUGGGGAGGGAUGGAGAUCUGAAGACGGCUUUGACAUCAGACCUGGAGAUGCAGUUUGGACUUUGCCCAGCUGGCUUCCUGUUUUUCUUUGGGGGUUAUAGUUAAAGUGAUUGGGUGAAUCUCAGGAGAGACUUUGAACUUUGAACUUUUAACAUUGUUGACGCUGCUAUAGACUAUGGGACUUUUGAAGUUGAACUAAAUGUACUUUAUAUUGUGUUAUGGCUAUGUAUGGCCCCCACAGACUCAUGGGGUUGAACAAGCCUGUGGGAGGCAGGGAGUGGAAUGCAGUGGUUUAAAUAUGCUUGGCCCAGGGAAUGGAACUAUUAGGAGGUGUGGCCUUGUUGGAGAAAGUGUGUCACUAUGGGGGUGGGCAAUGAGACCCUCUUCCUAAACAUGUGGGAGGCAUGGGAACUUUGUGAUAUUACAAGGCCACAUUGUCAUACGAUGUGCCAUACCACAAACUUUAGCCUUAGCCAUUGCAAUAACUAGCCUCAGCCUAGUCCUAUCUCUAAACAAAACAAUAACCGUAUUAACAAACCCUCACACGAUCUCAGACCUAAUGGUAACCCUUUACUAUCUGUACUGGUUUGAAUAUGCUUGGCCCAGGGAAUGACACUAAUAGGAUGUGUAGCCUUGUUGGAGAAAGUGUGUUACUGUGGGGGAGGGCAAUGAGACCCUCCUCCUAACCACAUGGGAGCCAAUCAUCUCCUGGUGGCCUUCAGAUGAAGAUGCAGAACUCUCAGCUCCUCCUGACCCAUGCCUGCCUGGAUGCUGCCAUGUUCCUGCCUUGAUGAUAAGGGACUGAACCUCUGAACCUGUAAGCCAGACCUGAUUAAAUGUUGUCCUUAUAAGAGUUGCCUUCAUCAUAGUGUCUCUCUACAGCAAUGCAAACCCUAAGACAGUGUCUCUUUGUAGUAAUGGGAACCUUAAGUAGGACAGUGGCAGUUACUGGUGUGUGAGUAGGGUCUAAUCUCAGUCCUCUGUUCACACCGUACCACAUAGUGCCAUGUAUUGGCUGACAGCUGGCCUCAUUAUUGUCACCUGUUAUGAACAGGGCAGCAUUCAAUUAAAAACUUGGAUGCUUUCAUAAAAAAAAAUACAUCAGAAAGAACCAAAAACUAGUAGAUAGAUUAAUAUGGGUAAUCCUUUCCAGAAACUACAAAAAUGAAGUGUCUGGUCAGGUAAGUUGGUAAGAAGCCUUCAACAUGACCACCCUGGUAACUGUCCUCUUCUUGCUGCCCUCCUUUGCUCAGGAUUCACUCACUGACCUGGAAGGCUGCGGACAGAGGAGUCUACCACAGGCCGUGGCCCAAAUCCAUGCUCCAACUUGAAGAUUACCUCAGGUUUGGUCAUGCACCGUCCUGUAAGUGGUGAAGAAUAAACAAGUUUUACAAAGGUGUUAGGUGCAGUCCACUAACACUAAUGAAAGACGACAUCUAAUUCAGAACCUUUACUUAGAUCAGUGAAUCAGAAACUUUCCUUAGAGGGUUUACACUUACAUUCCUCACUGGCUGCAGUAUCAUCUUCAAAUAGCAUAAUGAUUUCCAGACAAUUUAAGAAAACAGAAGUGAAUAGAAGAGAAAACACAAUAAAAGAAAGACUAUUUAAAACAAAUUCUACAGGAAAGGGUAAUCAUAAAACAAUCAACCAAGGACCCAACCAGAUGCCUCAGUGGUUAAGAACACUUGUUACUCAUACAGAUAACCUGGGUUCAAUUCCCAGCAACCCUAUCAGGUUGCAUACACCAUCUGGAAGUUUAGUUCCGGCAAAUCUGACACUUUUUGGUCUCUCCACAUUGCAAACACGCUAUAGAUAAAAAUAAAUUAAAAAAAAAUUUUUUUUUGGUUCUUUUUUUCGGAGCUGGGGACCGAACCCAGGGCCUUGCACUUCCUAGGUAAGCGCUCUACCACUGAGCUAAAUCCCCAGCCCCUAAAAAUUUUUUAAAUAAGCUAAAUUACUAGGAAUGGCGGAGCGUGUAUUUAAUCCCAGUACUUGGAAGGAAGAGGCAGACAUAUCAGCUUGAGUUAAAGGUCAGUCUGAUCUAUUUAACAACUUCCAGGCCAGCAGAGCCAUAUAGUAAGACUCGUUUUUCAAAAAUAAGUUAAAUAACCCAGGCAGAGUUUAAAAAUCAAUAGAACAUAAGGAUCAUUCAAUAUAUACACAUGAUCACUGAAAAGAACAUGUCUUCCCUGUGUUUUCUAGAAGACAAGAAACAAAACAAAACUGGAGAGAUGAGUUAUUCACCAGCAAAUGACUGUCACAUUAUAAGCAGACACAGUAGUCGCACACCAGCAAGUGACUGUCACAUUAUAAUCAGACACAGUAGUCACACACCAGCAAGUGACUGUCACAUUAUAGUCAAACAGGCACAGUAGCAAAACUAAGAAUUCCAAACACUCUAAAGCCUGGCCCUUCAGUCUGCACCUGUACCCUUUGGCAGAUCAGCAUACCUGUCACCAGACCCACAGCCUGCCUGUCUCCCAGGAGGUCUGCCCUACCCAGGGACGAAGGUGAGACCCCUGCCACAAUACCCAUGCCAACUGGGACCACCACAGAGCCCAGCAGACGUGGGAUCUAUCCCACUCACUGGAGCCCCAUCACCUUACAUUCUGGACCUCCACCUGCACCCGUGGCAGAUUGGCAUGUCUGUGCCCUGAUGCCACAGCCUGCCUGUCUCCCAGGGAUCUCCCCUAAGCAGGACACAGGACAACUGCUCUAACCAGAGACACAGGAAGCUUGCUCUAACUAGAGAUAGCACUGCCUGCCUCCCAGGAGGCCUGCUCUAACCCAGGUCCCACAGCUCUACCUGACACCUAGGAGACCUGCUCCAAUCCAAGAUACCCGGGACAGUUGACAGCAGAUAUAACCAGAUGGUGAAAGGCAAGCACAAGAACAUAAGCAAUGGAAUCUGUGGUGGUUUGAAUAUGCUUGGCACAGGGAAUAGCACCAUUUGGAGGUGAGGCCUUGCUGGGGGAGGUGUGGCCUUGCUGGAGGAGGUGAGGGCUUGCUGGAGGAGGUGUGGCCUUGCUGGAGGAGGUGUGGCCUUGUUAGAGGAGAUGUGGCCUGGCUGGAGGAGGUGUGUCACUGUGGGCAUGGGCUUUAAGACCCUCCUAGCUGCUUAGAGGCCAGUUUCUCCUGUUUGCCUUCAGAACAAGAUGUUGAACUCUCAGCUCCUCCAAUGCCAUGCCUUCCUGGAAGGGAGGACAAGCGGGGGGGGGGGGGGGGGUUCAGGAGGGCAACAUUUGAGAUAUAAAUAAAUAAAAUAAUUAAUUAAAAACAAAUAAAGCCUAAGCUGCCCCAUGGUAGCACAUGCCUUUAAUCCCAGCACUUGGAAGGCAGAGGCAGAAUCAGACAGAUCUCUGAGUUCAAGGCCGGUCUGGUUUACAGAAUGAGUUUCAGAACGGCCAAGGCUACACAGAGAAACCCUGUCUAGAAAAAGGAGGAGGAAGAGGAGGAAGAGGAGGAGGGGGAGGAGGAGGAGGAGGAGGAGGAGGAGGAGGAGGAGGAAGAGGGAGGAACAAUGACAAUGAUGAAAAGUAAGAGGUGGUGGUGAAGAAGGAGGAGGAAGGGGAGAGGGAGAAGUGGAAGAGAAGGAGGCCUAUUGCCGCACAUAGAAGAACACCCCUUAGCUGUGUGCUUAGCUGUCACCACACUCCCCAGCAUUACAAUGACUUCAAAGCUUCACAUGGACACAGCAACCAAACUGCAGGUACAAAAACCCCAGUGAACACAGGCACAAAAAUUCUCAACAAAAUAGAAAAUCGACCAGCUCAUAAAACAGCUAGGAGCUACGGUCAUGUGCGAUUCAUACUAGGACUGCAGCACUCACCAUAUGGAAACGGGAAACAUCCAUGCACUAAAUAAUGAACAGCCACAUUUCUACAUCAGUGGUGCCUGCCUUAAAUCCCAGAGGAGUCAGGGCAAGUCCAUCUCUGAGUUCCAAGCUAGUUAGGUUUGCAUGGGGAGACCCUGUCUCAAAACCCACAACCAACACAACAGAAAUAGCCAUGUGCAUACAAUGGAUGCAUUAAAGGCACUGUUCCGUUCAGAGACAAAUCUCAGUAAACUAUAACAUGGCUGUCUACACACACCAAGGCCACAGCCCACAGCCUGGGGAGUACAGCAAGCCUGAGAUGAUGUCCUCUAGGAACACAGCAGGAUGUGGACUCUCACCAAUCUCACGUUUAGUAAUAAGGUCUACAGACAUAUAUACCUGUAUUGAUAUAUGGAAAAAAGAACACUCAAAGCAGAAAGAGGAACAUAAAGUUGAACUUACCUAUAAACCACACUGUAAAGAGAAAACCUUAGACUCUAAAUAAGGGAGAAUUGAUACAGCAUAACAAAAGCAGAAGUCACAAGUCAAACUUAAUACCUUUUAUGAGAAAUUGCUAAAAAGUCAGAACACAACCCUCUUUUAAAAAAAAAAAAGGCUACUCAUGGCCAAGAGUGGUGGUGCAUGCAUUUAAUUCCAGCACCCAGGAGCCAGGGGAAGCCAGAUCUCUGUGAAUUUGAGACCAGCCUAGUACAGUUUCAGUACUGCCGAUUGCAACAAUGCUAAUUAAAUAAGUAACCAGAAAACAAAGAAACCCAGUCAAAAAAAAAAAAAAAAAAGAAUUGUCAGUACUGGUGCUGAAGAGACGUUUCAGUGGUUAACAGCAUUUAUUGCUCUUUCAGAGGAUCCGGGCUCAAUUCCCAGUGCAGUGACUCACAACCAUUGUUAGCUUCAGGUUUGGAGAAUACCGGACCCACUUCUGGCCUCCCGGGAAACCAGGAAGGUAUGUGAUAUAUAGAUAUGCAUGCACACAAAACCCAUACUCAUUAAAUACCUACUUUUUAUAGACCUUUUUAUAGACUUGUGGAGCGGCGCUGAGGAGCAGAGAGACCUCUGAAGGCUCUGAAGGGAGAUAGGAGGUGGAGGAGGACUCUGCAGAGACCACAGUAUCCCCAGAACAACCCCAAAAAGGCAGGUCUCGUGCAGAGACGCUUCCGAAGAUUUGCCUCGUGAGGUUAGAAGGAAAGAUGGCAGGGCAGAGGCGUGCGCAAAGUGGAGAAAGGUGAAGCUAGAGACUCCACAGCGACGAGUAUGGGAGCGGGAUGGGACGAGUAUGGGAGCGGGAUGGGAGUAUGGCUCCGGCAUGGGAGUAUGGCUCCAGCAGACGAAGAACAUGUUCUCGACCAGUAGGGCUGGUCCUCAGCCCACCAGAACGAGCGAGGGACAGCCUGCAGCGUGGAGCCACUACUGUUACAGCCGGGGCGGCCUGCCCUCCUGGGAGGAGGCGAGAGAGAGGCUAUGGUGCUGCCCACAGGCUGCAAGAGCAAAAGUAGACCAUACCUGUUGAGCCUUGAGGGCAGAACGACGUGCUCGCACAGACCUUGCGUGAAGAUGCCCUGCCCAGCCGCAAGAUCUCCCUGGCCUAACUCUGGGCACACAACAGUAGACUAUCCAAGAUGAGCGUGAGCAAUCGCCCAGUAUUUAUGGUGCUUUGUUACUGUGAGUAUUUGCAUGUAAAAGUGUUGUGGGAAAAGAAAAUACUGUGGCACACUGCAUUUUGCAGUGCUGAUUACAUAUAUAAAAAAAAGUGUGUGAUGCAUGCUCCACUAUGUUCAUCGCAGCCUUAUUUAUAAUAGCCAGAAGCUGGAAAGAACCCAGAUGCCCUUCAACAGAGGAAUGGAUACAGAAAAUGUGGUACAUCUACACAAUGGAAUAUUACUCAGCUAUCAAAAACAAUGACUUUAUGAAAUUCGUAGGCAAAUGGUUGGAACUGGAAAAUAUCAUCCUGAGUGAGCUAACCCAAUCACAGAAAAACACACAUGGUAUGCACUCAUUGAUAAGUGACUAUUAGCCCAAAUGCUCGAAUUACCCUAAAUGCACAGAACACAUGAAACUCAAGAAGGAUGACCAAAAUGCGAAUGCUUCACUCCUUCUUUAAAAGGGGAACAAGAAUACCCGUGGCAGGGAAUAGAGAGGCAAAGAUUAAAACAGACACAGAAGGAACACCCAUUCAGAGCCUGCCCCACAUGUGGCCCAUGCAUAUACAGCCACCCAAUUAGACAAGAUGGAUGAAGCAAAGAAGUGCAGGCCGACAGGAGCCGGAUGUAGAUCGCUCCUGAGAGACACAGCCAGAAUACAGCAAACACAGAGGCGAAUGCCAGCAGCUAACCACUGAACUGAGAAUAGGACCCCCGUUGAAGGAAUCAGAGAAAGAACUGGAAGAGCUUGAAGGGGCUCGAGACCCCAUAUGUACAACAAUGCCAAGCAACCAGAGCUUCCAGAGACUAAGCCACUACCUAAAGUCUAUACAUGGACUGACCCUGGACUCUGACCUCAUAGGUAGCAAUGAAUAGCCUAGUAAGAGCACCAGUGGAAGGGGAAGCCCUGGGUCCUGCUAAGACUGAACCCCCAGUGAACGUGAUUGUUGUGGGGAGGGCGACAAUGGGGGGAGGGUUGGGAGGGGAAGGCAGUAGAGAAGGGGAGGGGGAUGUUUGCCUGGAAACCGGGAAGGGGAAUAACAAUUGAAAUGUAAAUAAGAAAUACCCAAUUUAAUAAAAUGGAGGGAAAAAAGUAUGUGAUGAAGAGGUGAGAAAGAUGGUGGAGUAGGCAGAGUGCCCUGGCGGGGGAAGGCAGAAAUGGACUCAGUGGUGGUAAUGUGUGUGGGAGCACGGCUGUGGUGGAGGGGGAGCAUGUCAUUACUAAGUCAAGCUGACAGGGUCGUGUGGCACAUCUGGGGUUCAUCAGGCCCUGCCCCCUAGCAUGCUGCCCAGCUACUCAAUAGCUCUGACUUAGAGCAACAACAGGAUGUCCUCUGUGAUCAGGGGUGCCUCCGCAGGCGAAGUUGGUGGCCAAACUGUCAGUGCUAUAUCCUGGAGAUGUGCUGGUGCCUGUGGUCUACGCUGCUGCCUGACACCAUGUUGAUGUUUGUGGUCCAUGUUCCCACUGGUGCAAGGUCCAGCCUGCAGCCAGAGGACUUUCAGAUGUCUGUGGUUCAUGCUGCUGCCAAGGGCCAUUUUGGUGUCCGUGAUCCAUGCUCCUGCAGGGAGUCAUGAUGAUGUCCAUUGUCAGUUCCCCCACUGGAGACGGUAUCCAUGAUCCACGUUACCUCCUGAAGUCAUAUGAUAUCUGCAGUCUGUACUGCAGUCUGUACUGUGGCUCAGGGCCAGGUUGAUGUCUGUGGUCUGUGCUAUCCCCAGAAACCAUGUAGAAGUACAUGGUCCGGGCUGCCACUGGCUAUUAAGGGCGAGGAUGUUUCCUUUUACAGUAGUAUCAAGGAAAGCUGCAGAGGGACAGUCAUUAAGGCUUCUGUGGCAAUCCUCCCCAACAAUCCUACAGCAAACUCCCAUGUUAAAAAAAAAAAAAAGACUUGGCAGGAAGCUACUGACAAAAGCCUUUCACGUUUUUAAUACGGAGUCUGAAGUAUAGUUCUUCACAGUUGGCCUCUGCUGGGGUUGGGGUGGGGAAAGUCAGCAGCUAUCUUUAAGGGGCUGACCACGGGGAGUUUGACCCUGCUCCAUUGAGAAUAUAGGCAGCAUGGUUUAGAUGUGGUGCAUUUUUUUCUCUUCUUUUUUUUCUUUUUUAUAGGGCGGGCACAAGAGUGUGUGGGGACAGACCUAGGAAGACUGAGGGGCAAGUAUGAUCAGCGGGGUGCACUAUGCAAAAUUUCCAAAUAAUAACAAUAUUAUGUUGGAAUAAAUUUAAUAAAGGUUCAAUACUUUUA